UAGGGAAUCUUCCACAAUGGGCGCAAGCCUGAUGGAGCAACACCGCGUGAGUGAAGAAGGGUUUCGGCUCGUAAAGCUCUGUUGUUAUAGAAGAACACGUAUGAGAGUAACUGUUCAUACGUUGACGGUAUUUAACCAGAAAGUCACGGCUAACUACGUGCCAG
rnacentral:rRNA from 1 species